rnacentral:rRNA from 1 species
CCUACGGGCGGCAGCAGUGGGGAAUAUUGCACAAUGGGCGCAAGCCUGAUGCAGCCAUGCCGCGUGUGUGAAGAAGGCCUUCGGGUUGUAAAGCACUUUCAGCGGGGAGGAAGGCGUUAAGGUUAAUAACCUUGGCGAUUGACGUUACCCGCAGAAGAAGCACCGACUAACUCCGUGCCAGCAGCCGCGGUAAUACGGAGGGUGCAAGCGUUAAUCGGAAUUACUGGGCGUAAAGCGCACGCAGGCGGUCUGUCAAGUCGGAUGUGAAAUCCCCGGGCUCAACCUGGGAACUGCAUUCGAAACUGGCAGGCUAGAGUCUUGUAGAGGGGGGUAGAAUUCCAGGUGUAGCGGUGAAAUGCGUAGAGAUCUGGAGGAAUACCGGUGGCGAAGGCGGCCCCCUGGACAAAGACUGACGCUCAGGUGCGAAAGCGUGGGGAGCAAACAGGAUUAGAUACCCUUGUAGUC